GAUGAACGCUGGCGGCGUGCCUAAUACAUGCAAGUAGAACGCUGAAGCUUGGUGCUUGCACCGAGCGGAUGAGUUGCGAACGGGUGAGUAACGCGUAGGUAACCUGCCUCUUAGCGGGGGAUAACUAUUGGAAACGAUAGCUAAUACCGCAUAAAAGUCGAUAUCGCAUGAUAUUGAUUUGAAAGGUGCAAAUGCAUCACUAAGAGAUGGACCUGCGUUGUAUUAGCUAGUUGGUGAGGUAACGGCUCACCAAGGCGACGAUACAUAGCCGACCUGAGAGGGUGAUCGGCCACACUGGGACUGAGACACGGCCCAGGCUCCUACGGGAGGCAGCAGUAGGGAAUCUUCGGCAAUGGGGGCAACCCUGACCGAGCAACGCCGCGUGAGUGAAGAAGGUUUUCGGAUCGUAAAGCUCUGUUGUAAGAGAAGAACGAGUGUGAGAGUGGAAAGUUCACACUGUGACGGUAACUUACCAGAAAGGGACGGCUAACUACGUG
rnacentral:rRNA from 1 species